AGUAAAAUGCCUGAAAUUAAAGGAUUAUCUUGAUAGGAUAAAUAAUGUAUAAAAUACUUUUACUA
rnacentral:tRNA from 1 species